rnacentral:tRNA from 1 species
UAUACUUUAGUGUAAUGAUGCACGGGGUUUUUUGAUUACCCAGGAGUGGUUUAAUGCCAUAUAGUAUAA